rnacentral:rRNA from 1 species
UACGAAGGGGGCUAGCGUUGCUCGGAAUUACUGGGCGUAAAGCGCACGUAGGCGGCUUUCUAAGUCGGGGGUGAAAUCCUGGAGCUCAACUCCAGAACUGCCUUCGAUACUGGAGAGCUUGAGUCCGGGAGAGGUGAGUGGAACUGCGAGUGUAGAGGUGAAAUUCGUAGAUAUUCGCAAGAACACCAGUGGCGAAGGCGGCUUUCUGGACAGUAACUGACGCUGAGGCGCGAAAGCGUGGGGAGCAAACAGG